rnacentral:rRNA from 1 species
CGGGGGGGGCAAGCGUUGUUCGGAAUUACUGGGCGUAAAGGGCGCGUAGGCGGCCUGCUAAGUCACACGUGAAAUCCCUCGGCUCAACCGGGGAACUGCGUGUGAUACUGGCGGGCUUGAAUUCGGGAGAGGGAUGUGGAAUUCCAGGUGUAGCGGUGAAAUGCGUAGAUAUCUGGAGGAACACCGGUGGCGAAGGCGGCAUCCUGGACCGAGAUUGACGCUGAGGCGCGAAAGCUAGGGGAGCAAACGGGAUUAGAUACCCCGGUAGUCCUAGCCCUAAACGAUGAGUGCUUGGUGUGGCGGGUAUCGAUCCCUGCCGUGCCGAAGCUAACGCAUUAAGCACUCCGCCUGGGGAGUACGGUCGCAAGGUUG